UGCCGAAAAGAAUGAUGUGACUUUCUUAGU
rnacentral:piRNA from 1 species